rnacentral:lncRNA from 1 species
CUUCUCGACGCUGUACGCGCCCCUCAUCCGCGACGGCCGCAUGGAGAAGUUCUACUGGGCGCCCACCCGCGAGGACCGCAUCGGGGUGUGCAAGGGCAUCUUCCGCACCGACAACGUCCCGGACGAGGCUGUGGUGAGGCUGGUGGACACCUUCCCGGGGCAAUCCAUCGACUUCUUCGGCGCGCUGCGGGCGCGGGUGUACGACGACGAGGUGCGCAAGUGGGUCGGCGAGAUCGGCGUCGAGAACAUCUCCAAGCGCCUCGUCAACUCCAGGGAGGGGCCGCCGACGUUCGACCAGCCCAAGAUGACCAUCGAGAAGCUCAUGGAGUACGGCCACAUGCUGGUCCAGGAGCAGGAGAACGUGAAGCGUGUGCAGCUCGCCGACAAGUACCUCAGCGAGGCGGCGCUCGGCCAAGCCAACGACGACGCCAUGGCGACCGGCGCCUUCUACGGCAAGUAGAAUGAAGGCCAGCCCGUCCUAGUUAAGAUGCAUGCAUGCACUAUAUAUAUUUUGGAAUAUUUUGGACUCAAACUUUUUGAUUCAUCGCCGCACAGGUAACCCAAUUGUAACUUGUACGUCUCUUGUUGAAAGAAAAUCGAAUUAUACUCCCUAUGUUUCUAAAUAUAACUCUUUUUAGAGAAUCCAAUAUGGACUACGUACAGAGUAAAAUGGGUGAAUCUACACAUUAAACUACGUCUAUAUACAUCCGUAUAUAGUCCAUAUUACAAUCUCUAAAAAACUUAUAUUUAUGAGCGGAUGAAGUAUAUGUUAUUGCAUAUAUAUAUACCUGAAUCGUCAUUUUCGGCUUAAUCAUUUCUCUAAUAAUGGAUGCAAGCUAGGGGUCCCAACAACCUACCUCUUGAUAUUAGCAUUUGUCGGAAGAUUAGCAGAUAUCUGGAAAUCCUCUGAAAAUUAUUGAUUAGGUACUGUAAAUGUGGGGGUCAUGACUAGUGACAUGUUUAUUUUCCUCUUGACGGAUUUGGAAACUGAUUAACAAGACAACAUCACUAGAGGGCGUAUUGGACAAAGAUUGUGCAAGGCAAACACGGCUAGCAUUCAUCAAAAGGAUCAAUGGUCUGUAGUAGACCAAGACAAUGAGUAUUCCAGGAAACUUGAGCCAAGCAGCACCAAUAACAUUUACAUGAAAACAUUACAGACGUGACAUAUACACACAGCCAUCAUUUUAUCCUCAAAAUGAAAAACUGCAUGACUAGCUUUUUCUCUUAAUACGCUUCUUUUUUUUUUUACCGAAGUGGCAAUAUUAUUGGAUUACACAAAAGUACAAACCCAUGUGCUUGAUGUCAACCAGGACUUGAUUUGUGUGGUGCCAAAUGACAUCCCUAGCUUGAUGGUUAUCAACAAACCAGUAUAUGUAUGGCAGCAACAAAUUUGUGGUAUUUGAACUAGAAUACAAUUUUGGGUGCCUCAUCCAACAAGCAACGAGAGAGCCUUUUUUGUGGUUAUGCAACGACAUAGCUUGGCUAAUAAACAAGAUAGUAUAUACGGGCGAUCCGGUGAAAGGAAAAACGAAAGGCACGGAAGAAAAUGGAGAUGAUUUGAGCAUGAAUGGUUAGAUUCUGUGGCCGUGGAAGGCCAUGGAAUUGAUGGCCAGCAGACGUACCUGCAGCUGCAGCAGCAGCGUUUGGUCUUGACGGUCCAAGUCAUCCAACCGGCCGGCCAAGACGCUUAGAACCCAAUCUCCAGCGUGUGGCCUGUGGGGGAUCGGGAAGCUGAUCCACAAGCAGGGGUGUGUGUAUGCCGCCUCCUCCUCUAAGCUCCCCACCGCAGCAAUAUGCCAAUCCACGUGUAUUUAAGGCAUCUCAUAGCUCGGCCUCUAUACUUUGAGCAGCAGCAGUCAUUCAUCACUGAUCACCAGCACAGCCGCGCAUCCACCGCUGCUAGCAAGGUCGAGCAAGCAGCACAGAGAUGGCUGCUGCCUUCUCCUCCACCGUCGGUGCCCCGGUGCGUAUGACACACUGAUUGAUCGAUCGAUUGAUUGAUUGCGUCUCUUGCUUAGUGAUGAUACCAUAUCAAUGUCUUCAACGGCGUCUCAUGUGUGUAUGUGUAAUGUAUACAGGCUUCUACGCCGACCAACUUCCUCGGGAAGAAGCUCAAGAAGCAGGUGACCUCGGCCGUGAACUACCAUGGCAAGAGCUCCAAGGCCAACAGGUUCACGGUCAUGGCAGCGGAAAACAUCGACGAGAAGAGGAACACCGACAAGUGGAAGGGUCUUGCGUACGAUAUCUCCGACGACCAGCAGGACAUCACCAGAGGGAAGGGCAUCGUGGACUCCCUCUUCCAGGCGCCCACUGGCGACGGCACCCACGAGGCCGUCCUCAGCUCAUACGAGUACGUCAGCCAGGGACUCAAGAAGUACGACUUCGACAACACCAUGGGAGGCUUCUACAUCGCUCCUGCUUUCAUGGACAAGCUUGUUGUCCAUCUCUCCAAGAACUUCAUGACCCUGCCCAACAUCAAGGUACGUACGACAUGCAUCAUCACCUACUAUUUAAUUUAACUGAUUAGCAGCAAGAAAAUCAUUCCGAUUCUGAAACUGACCUUGAAUCGAAAUUCAGAUCCCACUCAUCUUGGGUAUCUGGGGAGGCAAGGGUCAAGGAAAAUCCUUCCAGUGUGAGCUUGUCUUCGCCAAGAUGGGCAUCAAGUAGGAAUUUACAUUCAUCUAUUAUACAUACUGCCACACGGUUAUAGAUGCCUGAAGCCAAAGUGCUAAUAAUAGAUAAUGACGUGUGCUUUUCACCACAGCCCAAUCAUGAUGAGUGCCGGAGAGCUGGAGAGUGGCAACGCCGGAGAGCCAGCCAAGCUCAUCAGGCAGCGGUACCGUGAGGCUGCAGACAUGAUCAAGAAGGGUAAGAUGUGCUGCCUCUUCAUCAACGAUCUUGACGCCGGUGCGGGUAGGAUGGGCGGGACCACACAGUACACCGUCAACAACCAGAUGGUGAACGCCACCCUCAUGAACAUCGCCGAUGCCCCCACCAAUGUGCAGCUCCCAGGCAUGUACAACAAGGAGGAGAACCCACGUGUGCCCAUCGUCGUCACUGGUAACGAUUUCUCGACGUUGUACGCCCCUCUGAUCCGUGAUGGUCGUAUGGAGAAGUUCUACUGGGCUCCCACCCGCGACGACCGUAUCGGUGUCUGCAAGGGUAUCUUCCAGACCGACAAUGUCAGCGACGAGUCCGUCGUCAAGAUCGUCGACACCUUCCCAGGACAAUCCAUCGGUAUGUUCCUCACAACUGCACUGCAGAGAUAAUAUUCAUCAGGGCAAUCAAGUUAUAUAGUAUUGACAAAGGAUCGUCGAUCCUACAGACUUUUUCGGUGCUCUGCGUGCUCGGGUGUACGACGACGAGGUGCGCAAGUGGGUGACCUCUACCGGUAUCGAGAACAUUGGCAAGAAGCUGGUGAACUCGCGGGACGGACCAGUGACCUUUGAGCAGCCAAAGAUGACAGUGGAGAAGCUGCUAGAGUACGGGCACAUGCUCGUCCAGGAGCAGGACAAUGUCAAGCGUGUGC